rnacentral:misc_RNA from 1 species
UAUUUACUUGGCUUGUAUGGGAUUAUUCAAACUCAACUACCAUUAAUUGAUAUUGUUUUGAAUGAUUAAAACAGCAUAAUGAUACAAGAAUCAAGUAAUUGGAGACCCACCCUCAAAGGGUUUCAACCAUUCGGGUUUCUCCUGUUAGAUAUACAAGUUUGAUUAGGGGUAUAUGCCUUACCUUUUCUUGAUAUUCACUGCCACCACUUUCUAACAUCUCUAUAAAUUCUUCUGCCAUUUCCUCCAAAUGCAACUUCAGGAGACUAGUGAGAUGCUCAAUGCCGUGAGGCAACACCUUCAGCUCCUGACAACGAACUAGAUACAUCUCCCGGAUGCUUGGUAGUGAACCCUCCUCUAGUUUCAUGCUAUUCAAUCGUGCAAGUUGUUGAAAUAUAAGUUUAUUGAGUCUGGGAAACCAUCCUGCCUUGAAGUGCAAGAAUUUCCCAUCAUAAGCAUUCUUGAG